AAGGAUUUAAGUUAAUUAAACUAGAAGCCUUCAAAGCUUCAAAUAAAUUUUAUUAUUUAAGCCUUA
rnacentral:tRNA from 1 species